rnacentral:rRNA from 1 species
GACGAACGCUGGCGGCGUGCCUAAUACAUGCAAGUAGAACGCUGAAGAGAGGAGCUUGCUCUUCUUGGAUGAGUUGCGAACGGGUGAGUAACGCGUAGGUAACCUGCCUUGUAGCGGGGGAUAGCUAUUGGAAACGAUAGCUAAUACCGCAUAACAAUGGAUGACACAUGUCAUUUAUUUGAAGGGGGCAAUUGCUCCACUACAAGAUGGACCUGCGUUGUAUUAGCUAGUAGGUGAGGUAAUGGCUCACCUAGGCGACGAUACAUAGCCGACCUGAGAGGGUGAUCGGCCACACUGGGACUGAGACACGGCCCAGACGCCUACGGGAGGCAGCAGUAGGGAAUCUUCGGCAAUGGGGGCAACGCUGACCGAGCAACGCCGCGUGAGUGAAGAAGGUUAUCGGAUCGUAAAGCUCUGUUGUAAGUCAAGAACGGGUGUGAGAGUGGAAAGUUCACAAUGUGACGGUAGCUUACCAGAAAGGGACGGCUAACUACGUG